rnacentral:rRNA from 1 species
UACGUAGGGGGCAAGCGUUGUCCGGAAUCAUUGGGCGUAAAGAGCGUGUAGGCGGCCCGAUAAGUCCGCUGUGAAAGCCCAGGGCUCAACCCUGGGAGGCGGGUGGAUACUACUGAACUAGAGUACGGAAGAGGAGAUUGGAAUUCCUGGUGUAGCGGUGAAAUGCGCAGAUAUCAGGAGGAACACCAACAGCGAAGGCAGAUCUCUGGGACGUAACUGACGCUGAGACGCGAAAGCGUGGGGAGCAAACAGG